CAUAACACUAAGGAGGCGUUUGGUAUUAAUGUUAACACUUUAGGGUUAGGUUACCCUAAACCUAAUCCCUGUUUGGAUUAAGGGUUAUGGAAACCCUAGUUUUAGGGUUUUCUUAAUACCCACUUUACCCUCAAACCUCUCCCAAUCAUCUGCCAAUUUGUCUCCUCCAUUUUUGCCUUCAAGCCCUCUUCAUCCCCUUCGAUCCCUUCUCUUCCUUCCUUUUUUUGUUGUUUCUUCAUCUCUCUCAUCUCCUCCAUUUGCAUUUUCUGUUCACAAAUCUCAACUCUCCCACCCUUAUAUGUCGAUUUAUCUCCCUCAUUUUCUCCCUUCAACCCGUGUAUACCAUGCAUCCUUAAUCCGUGUUGAACCCCUUUAAUCCCUCAUCUUCCUUCCAUUUCUUGUUGUUUCUCGGUCUUCCUCAUCUACUCCAUUUGCAUUUUCUAUUCCAUUUAUGUCUGAGAUUCGGGCGUUGCAUUUUUCCAAUGAAAAAUACGAACCCCUUUUGCAUGGAAAAUGGGUUUCCUUUCGUGACGUCGAAUACCCAUCUACAUCUCUCUCAUCUGUCUUUCUCGGUCCCCAAAGUGAUACUCGUGUUUUAUUGAAGGAGACCCUUCAACGGCGUUGCCUCCAAACACGUUUCCAUUUUCGGAUCUAUGGGUCUCGUUGAAAGGUUGGGUCCAAUCCUUGCCUCCGAAACCAUUUGAUGGGUCUUCUAUGUGAACAACCAUCUUCCUUUUGUCCCUCAAAUUUUCUCCUUGCCGCUCAAAGUUUCCUUUUUGUCGCUCGGUGUAUCUCUUGCCAUUUCUAGUUUUCCUUAACUGAUAAGACAUACACUUCACAUCGUUUUAUGGCAAUGGGUGCCUAUCGAGCAUGGACGUCCUCAUUCACAAAGAUACCCUUCUAAGAGGUACUAUUGUAAUGGUCGUUUGUAGGACUUCUUUGUUAUUUUGAUAUUUUCUGGUCAGUUAGCGUUAAGACUGUAAUUUAUUUUCAAUUGUUACAAACUUCUAUUUUGGUUUUGUAAUUUUCCUUUUAAUAGGUUUUGUAUACAUUUAUUAGUGCACGUUUUGUUGAACA